rnacentral:rRNA from 1 species
GAUGAACGCUGGCGGCGUGCCUAAUACAUGCAAGUCGAACGAGGUCUUCGGACCGAGUGGCGAACGGGUGAGUAACACGUUGGUACCUACCCCGAAGUGGGGAAUAACUGGCCGAAAGGUCGGCUAAUACCGCAUAAUACCGCAAGGUUAAAGCAGUAAUGCGCUUCGGGAGGGGCCUGCGUCCCAUUAGCUAGUUGGUGAGGUAAUUGCUCACCAAGGCAACGAUGGGUAGCUGGANCGAGAGGUUGACCAGCCACACUGGGACUGAGAUACGGCCCAGACUCCUACGGGAGGCAGCAGUAAGGAAUCUUCCACAAUGGACGAAAGUCUGAUGGAGCAACGCCGCGUGCAGGAUGACGGCCUU